CACAAGCAGUGGAGUAUGUGGUUUAAUUCGACGCAACGCGAAGAACCUUACCAAGUCUUGACAUCCUGCGACGGACAUAGAAAUAUGUCUUUCCUUCGGGACGCAGAGACAGGUGGUGCAUGGUUGUCGUCAGCUCGUGUCGUGAGAUGUUGGGUUAAGUCCCGCAACGAGCGCAACCCUUAUGGUCAGUUACUACGCAAGAGGACUCUGGCCAGACUGCCG
rnacentral:rRNA from 1 species